CCACACCAUGACAUAUUUUAUAGGCUACAACAGAAUGCUUAUUUAAAGCCUAUUUUCAGUGUGGGAAGGGAACCCAGUGCUGGCUUGUGCUCACUGGGACUGGUAGGUACAGAGUGGGCAGGCAAAAAAAGCAAAGUGCCAUCAAAUUCAAGCACAAUCUGUAGACAUAUCAAAGAACCCUAUAGCGCAGAAAGAAAAAUGAAUCCAAAUGAUAACUUUUUUGAAGCCAUGGGUUGUUGUUGUUGUUGUUGUUGUUGUUGUUGUUGUUGUUGUUUAGUCCUUUAGUCGUGUCCGACUCUUUGUGACCCCAUGGACCAGAGCACGCCAGGCACUCCUUUUUUAAAAAAAGUUUUUUAUUUAUACAAUAAGAAAAACAAACAAACAAAAAACACAAAUACCGAAUUACACACAGAUUACAAAAAUAACCAUAGACACUUAAUAUUCUUAGCAAACAAUAAAACAUCUAUUGGUCUUAACACUAAAGACCCAACCUCCUGUCUAUUCCAUACUUCAAAUUCAUAUUACUUAUUGCCAAUACACUUUUUUUUUCAUAAUUAAACUUAUUCUCAUUAAAUCUAAUUUCUUAUAUCUACCUUGCAACUAUUACUGAAGUUCCUCGAAUGCUGCAACAGAAUUUAAACUACUAUAUUUAUUUUUAUAUAUUCUUUAAAAACCUCCCAUUUAGAAACAAAUUCCUGUUUUGAUUUAUUUUUUAUUUUGUCUGAUAAACCAUCUAAUUCAGCAUAUUCUGUCAGCUUUUGGAUCCAAUCUUGAAUAGAGGGGAUUUCAUUACUCUUCCAUUUUGCUGCGAUCAAAACUCUUGCUGCCGCCGUCGCAUAUAAAAAGAUACCCUUCCUCUUUUGUGGAAUAUCCAAAUCUGUUAUUCCCAGGAGGUAGGCCUCUGGUUUUUUAUUGAAAGUAGGCACUCCUGUCUUCCACUGCCUCCCGCAGUUUGGUCAAACUCAUGCUGGUAGCUUCGAGAACACUGUACAACCAUCUCGUCCUCUGUUGACCCCUUCUCCUUGUGCCCUCCAUCUUUCCCAACAUCAAGGUAUUUUCCAGGGAGUCUUCUCUUCUCAUGAGGUGGCCAAAGUAUUGGAGUCUCAGCUUCAGGAUCUGUCCUUCCAGUGAGCACUCAGGGCUGAUUUCCUUAAGAAUGGAUAGGUUUGAUCUUCUUGCAGUCCAUGGGACUCUCAAGAGUCUCCUCCAGCACCAUAAUUCAAAAAACAUCAAUUCUUCGGCGAUCAGUCUUCUUUAUGGUCCAGCUCUCACUUCCAUACAUCACUACAUGGAUCCCCUUCAUGGAUCACUGCCUUGCCGUGGCGAAGGGGCUUGAAUAACUCAGAGAAGCUACGAACUAUGCCGAGCAGGGCAUCCAAGAUGGACAGGUCAUAGUGGAGAGUUUUGACCAAACGUGAUCCACCUGGAGGAGGAACCGGCAAGCCACUCCAGUAUCCCUGCCAAGAAAACUCCAUGGACAAAGAAGCCAUGGGUAGUGGUUCCCAAAUGCCAUAAUCCUCUGAAAGCACAGGUGCUUCAAUGCACACAGACACACAGGCAUAACUUCUUGCAAUAUUGAAUUGCUGAAGCCAGUUACUUGUGUAUAGAGGUGGGUGGAGCUGUCAAUUUUGUUCCCUUCAUUUUCUCAUUUUUCCGAUCUUAAAUUCAGUUCUCCACACAUCUGCACCAAUUUGUGAGUUAAAAAAUAAUAAUUUGUGAACAUCCAGUAGUGUUUUAGUGCAUAUUUCCCCCUAAUAAACACAUUUUUAUGUAUGCAAUUUCCCCUAAUGUACACAUUUUUGCAAAUCAAUUCCCCCUAAUAUAAUGCAUCUCUGUAUGUCGUUUUGACUAAUAAAUGCACUUCUGUGCACACUUUACCUCAGUAGCUGUGCUUUUGUCCACAUUGAUUGGCUGGAGAACUGUUUUGCAAAAUUCAGAGAAGUGUGACUUUCAAAGGGAGGCUGUGCUUCAGUUUACAUACUGUUUCAGAAAGUGUAGAUUUGGUAGGUUCAUCCUUAAAUAUGAGUUUCAUAGAAUUUCUCCCUCGUCCCUAUUUGCGGAUGUAUUUCCAUGGGUGGAAAUUGCACUGUUUUGGAAUAUCUAUGAGACAAGUUAAUUCAAUAGUCAUCCCCCCACCCCAAAGUUGCCUCAAUCUGCCCAGUGGUGCAGCUGGUUCUGGAAGCAGUUCGUGGGAUCCCAGAGAAUGGCAAAUCUGCAAGGUACCAGGGAUCUCUAACAGAGAACUGUUAGCGCACACCAUCACAGACCACCAUUGCUAGGAUUCUUUGGAGUGGAAGGUCAACUGGUAUAAAAGCAAAAUAAAUUUGUAAAGUGGAUAAGUUACCUGAGUCAUCUUUGGAGAGACGAGAGAUUAGUAGGAGACGGACCAAACACAUUCUCUUGGCUUCCAUAACUUAUUCAUUAGGCAACAGAUUGCAAUGUGUAUAUUUUCAAAAAGAGUUAGCUGCUCGGUUGUUAAAAUAUAUUCUGCCGUCAUAAACUUUUGCAAUUGGAAACCUUCUUCUCGUUUCUACAAUAGGUUAACAUCAGUGUGCUUGUGUGUCACCAGUUUCAUUCAGCCUCAGACUCCAUACUCUCUGUGUCCCUCUGAGAGACCUGCUGGGACCUCCAGUAAAUACAAAUGGAGUAAUAUGAUACUUGCUACACUGACUCAGUAAAAAUCACAACAUUGUGUAUUCUGUUUCCUGAGGAAAUGCCUUAGAACAUUGCUCCCGGAGGACUCAGAAAGUAUCAAUUCUUCUCAUUAUAAGAGAUAAUUCUACGCAUCCCCCUAUUGUAGGAGUCAAGUUGACUGCCAUACACACUUCAAGCUGAAAACAUAGCAUCCGGACAGCAAUUUAAUAUACGGCUGGCUCAGGCAGGCAUAUGACCCGUGAAAUCAAAAGCUGCGCACCAGCUUUGUUUUGCAGCUCUUGCGGGUGUUAGGACAACCCCAACCAUCUUUGCAGUCCUGCAGGUAGCAAUAAGAGAAAGCUUACUAAGCCUCUAGCAGUCCUCUGAACAUGGCUGCCGGGCUGCGCUCAACUUGGUGAGUCAUGAGUUGUUCAAGCCUGUGCUACUCUAUUCGUUUUAACAGGCAGCAAACCGACAAGACCAAAACAAGACAUUUUGCUGACUGAGGUGGACUAGCAAUUGGACCCCAUCUCCCCAUGUAAGGGCAUGUAAUUGCAACUUGACUAGCUGGUUUAUUUUGGCACCCAAGACAGAAAAUCACACAAGGAUAUUUUCUUGUUUGCACAACAAUAAUAACAACUUACAUUUUACUGCCCUUUCAUGAUUGCCUAAAAUCAACCACCUGAGGCAGCUGCCUCUGUCUGCCUAAUGGUAGGGCUGGCUCUGGUCAGCAAACCACUCUGCCGUGGUCAGAGACAAGAAUAGAACAAUUAUAAGGAAAUUGGACUCCACUCAGCAAACAUCUUAAAUCAGGCCAGUGUCACCCACUGAAGUAAACAAUAUGCAAAGAUUGUUUACAGUGCACUUAUUGUUUCUCUGCUAGCAUUGUUGAUUUGUGGUACAGUCAUACCUUGGGUGAAGUAGCUUCUGGUUAAGCAUUUUCGGGUUGCGCUCCACGGCGACCCGGAAGUAACGGAGCACGUUACUUCCGGGUUUCGCUGCUCGCGCAUGCACAGACGCUCAAAAUGACUUCACGUGCAUGCACGGAAGCGGCAAAUUGCGACCAGUGCACGCACAGACGCGUGGACACGGGUUGUGUUCACUUCAGGAUGCGAAUGGGGCUCCAGAAUGGAUCCUGUUCGCAUCCAGAGGUACCACUGUAUCUCUGUGAUGGGAAACCUGUAGUACUCCAGAUGUUGUUGGACAACUCCAGUCAUCCCUGACCAUUGGCAAUGCUGGUUGGGGCUGAUGGGAGUUGGAGUCCAGCAACAUCUGAAGGCCCACAGGUUCCCACUCCUGCUUUAGAGAACAAUGGUACAUAUUGCAACACGGCGCCCACUCAAAAGAUUCGUAAUGAGCUCAUUUAAAUGACAAUGAUGAAUGCUUGUGAUGGAUAUGCUGAUGUCUUGACAGAACAGUUUAUUGCUUGCAUGUGUGUUGAAUUUAAGACUCCAAAGAUGCCGACAUGACUUAUCAAUUAUUUUCUACUUAAAAUGCAGAAGGAAUGACUUUUUAAAAAUAUACUUACAAACACAUCUUAGGAUUUGAUUUGUGAUUAAAAUUCCAUGUUCCCCUGGACUGACACUGUAUAAUGAAUAACACUCUCUUGUGUGCUACACUCAGUAAGAAUUAUCAGCUACUACAAUGCAUUUUGGAAAAUGACCCUCUUUGAAAGGCAUGCUCACCAUGAGGUAUGAGUAACUUCCGAUCGCCCAUUAGCUUUCUAACAUUCCCGACAUGUCAUGUGACUACUUUUGCUAAAUGAGCCCAAUCUAUGCAUGCAUUUUCAGAAGGAAACCCCAUUGAACUCAGUAACUGUGCAUAAAAUUGCACUCUUAAUGAGGGAUAGCUUUGCAAUUGGUGGGUCAUAUGAGGCCAGUAAAGCGAGUUGAGCUCCACAACCCCAGAGUCGUUCGCGACUGGACUUACCGGUAACUGUCAGGGGUCCUUUACCUUUACCUUUAUGAGGAGGGUUGCAACUCAGUGGUAGCACACAUUCUCUGCAUGCAAAUACUUCACUCCCUGACAUUUCCAGGGCUGAGAAAGACUCCUUCGUUUGUUUCUAACAAGUAGUCAAUAUUCUGGAAAAACCAUUCUUGAUAUAAUUCAUUUUAACACCACAAUAACACUUUGGUCCAAACCCAUUUAAAAAUCAGUUGUGACUAAGAUCACGAUCCUGUGCACACUUUCUUGAGAGUAAAUCCCUUGCUUUGGACCUUACCUCUGGAUAAAUCUCCAUAGAAUCGGGCUCUGCUGUAGCUGAGAACUCUAAUGCAUUAUUUGGAUUUAUUGGCACAUUUUGCAAACACUUAGGCACUUGGUUCCGAUACAUUUGCCUGUGAUUAACUUUGCCACACUAAAGAGGUUUCUUCCACAUCUUCAACUGUAUGAAUUAUUAACAUUGGCUAAUAGGUCAAUGAUACUAACAGAUUGCCAAGCGUGCCAAAUGUGGCUUUCUUUACAGGAAAAAUGGCGGGCACCAGAGUUUCAUUGCUUUUUCAAGGAGGGUCCAGGGCAGGUAUCUGUUUUGGGUUUUGAGGCACUGGCAGCUGCUGGAGGAAGCUGGGUGCUGGCUUUGGCCCAGGGUGGCAUGUGGGAGUCUGAUCAGCAAUGAACUAUAAAUCCAGCAAAGGAGUGACGUGAGUGAGAAAUGUUUUUCUUUGCUCUUCACUGUAUACCCCAUAAAAUUAUACUGUGUGUGUGUCACAGAGACACACAAAUGCACACAGAGAGAGAGAGAGAGGUUUUAGCCAUUCUAAAUAAGCACUGCUGAUAAAAAUGAUUAUUUAUGUUGCCAGUAAUGGAGCAUAAACAGCGCCCUUAUUAGUAGGCAAUUUCACGGUAUCUGCUCAGUACUUCUGCGAUUCCUGAUUUUAAAUGGAUGCGUCCAUUAAUUGCCUCUCCACCCCCUCAAUGUGAAAGCCUGAUUUAGUUCAAAAACAGUCAGGAUGAAAACACAAUCCUAGCUUAGGGAUGGUAUUUACAUGCAGGUCUUUUUGCCGUUGUGCCACAGGUCCAUUACAUGCUGUGUGAGUCAUCACAAUGCGCACUGUAGCAGUUGGCUGAAAAUGAGAAUGUAUUCCAUGUGUGAAAGUUAAUCCAAAUAUGGAAAUUGCCCUGUUUUGUAUUAACUACUGAUGAUACAGCAUAAUCCCCAGGGGCGGGGGUUAUUUUCUAGAUGCUUAUUCCUUGAAACUUGUGUGUGUGUCUCAAACUGGCCAUAUAUUUCCCCACAGUGAAGAAAGCUUUUUAAUUCCCUUGGCAUAUUAAGAAACCAGUCUGGUGUGGCAUACAGCAAACGUAUAGAAUGUAAGCACAUUAUUCAAGGUAUCCAGAUCAGGUGAGAGUCUGACAUGACAUCAGAACACAGCAUCCUCCAGCAGCUCAGGGUCACAGGACACAGGGAACUACUACUGAUCCAUCUAGUUCAGUACUGUCUGUACUGAUUGGCAGCAGCCUUCUCUCUCAGUCCUCCCUAGAGGUCCAAGGGAUUGAACCUGGGAUACUGUGCAUGCAAAGAAGAUGCUUGGCCACUGAGCUAUGGACCUUCCCUGCUGUUGGAGGCCCAGUGUCAGAGACCAGGCUGAGGAGAGCUACUCUGAUGAGGAAUGGUGGGGGGGCCUCCCCCUCCCUCUGCUCCUGACCAGGAUCCUGAAGCUGCCCAGGAGCAGUGGAGCAGUAUAGACUUGGAGCAGUGGUUUGAAGAGGGACAUAGUUCAGAAGACAACAGCUGGGAAGAACUGAGUGGAGAACAGCUAGGAGAAGAACGGGGAAGGGGGAGAGAGAGAAUUAACAGACUCCCUUUCGCUGGAAAGUGUCCAACUGAUCAGUCCAAGGUCAAGGAGAGCAGAUAAGGUGGAAUGCCAAAUGGUUUCGAGAUCAGGUUGCCAGACGAGGAAGUGACGGGGGUGGCUCAGGGGGAAGUGGGUGGAAACCUUAAUUGAGAGCGCCUUUCCUCUGAGAAUGGAGUCUUUGUUCUUUCGCUGUGAUUAUUAAAAAAUUAUUUAACUGGUAGGAGACUAUUUUUGCUUUUUUCUGUUUAUCCACAGCCAAAGGGAGGGAGGAAGGAUCCAAGAUGCAGAUAUGGCAAUCUGUUUGCUCAUUUGGAAGUUCCAUGAUACACCUAGCCACCACAAUUUUGUCUCCAUCCUUUUAGGAGGCCAUCUAAAUUAGUGGUCACCCCUCCUUCUCUUUUGUUAUAGAGAACUUCAUGAGUUUAGCUACGUGCUGUGUGAAGGCAUACUUUCUUCUGUCUGUCUUGGCCUGAACUUACUAACUAGAUUGGCAGUGUGCACAUGAACAAAACAUACAUGCAUACAUAUAUAUGUGGCGCUUCGCAACACGGCUUCAAAUUUAAUUUUGGUCUCCGAGAUUCAAAGUAAGCAAAAUGAAGAAAUGUCAUAUGCUGGUUCUCCUAACAACAGGAAUAUCGGUUACAGAAAAUUUACAUUCAAGUUUUCAUUGCAGGCCAUGUAAGCAGAAUGCAAAUGACAGUAACAAAUGCAGUUUAGUUGCUUGGUAUCAGAUUUGGCACGUUCAGAACAAUGAACCCAGACAUGGAGAUAUUCCUUAGUUUGCCAUCUUUCAUGAAUAACCUUUUCCAUGAUCCACACAGUCCAGAUUUUAAUAAAACCUUUAUUGAUUUGCCUACAGAGGUUCUUCUUUUCUCGCAGGAUGUUCUGUGGCCAAUGUAGCCAUGCAAUAAACAAGGGUAAUCUGUUCCACACUCACACAGUUCAAGGUUUAUGAAUAUGGUGUGAUACACAAAGAAGGAAACAUAAAUAGACAUCCUUUCCCAUAGCCAGAGACCCCUAACAAAGAAGGAAGAGUGAUGUUUCUAAAGGUUCGCUCUCAAGACAUGCUUCCAGAAAACAAAUUAUCCCAAUUUUACUCAGAAUCGCAGACAAUUUGUAACAAUAUUUAUGAAACUGCCUUAUCCUGAUUGAGAACAUUGAUCUAUCUAGCCUGAUGCUGCCUGCUCUGACUCAUAGAAGCAUUCCAAGGUCUUUCCCAACCCUGGAACUCUUUUAACUGGAGGAAUCAAACCUGAAUCUUGAAGGGUAGCUCUACCAUUGAGGUACUGCAGGUAACAGUUAGCACUUUACAUUAGAGCACAUUUUCCAUCCCAGGGACCACGUCCCCUCAAGGAGAACCUUCAAGUAGAUUACCAUUAUGUUUCCUGGAAAUUCAC